rnacentral:lncRNA from 1 species
AUUGGUUACGGAGAAAAAAGAAGAUGGAUUCGUAUUCAUAUACAUGAGAAUUAUAUAGGAACAAGAAAAAUCUUGGAUUCCUUUUUAUAAAAAUAGUAAUAAAUUUCUUUGGAAUAAUAAGACUGUUCAAAUUCCAAUACUCAUGAAGAAAGAGUCGUAAUAAAUGCAAAGAAGAGGGAUCUUUCACCCAAUAGCGAAGGGUUUGAACCAAUUUUUCUAGAUGGAUGGGGUAAGGUAUUAAUAUAUCUGACACAUAAUUUAAAUGUGGAAAUUUGUCCUCUAAAAAAGGAAAUAUUGAAUGAAUUGAUCGUAAUUUAUGAGAUUUUACUAUCUCUGACCUUUCUAAAUCUAAAGAAGAUACUAAUCGUAGGGAAAAUGGAAUUUCCACAAUAACUGCAAAGCCCUCUGAUAUCAUUUGAUAAUACAAAUUCUUGUUGUACCUAAAAAAUAGAUUUUGGUUAGAAUCAUUAGCAGAAAUAAUCAAAUGAUUCUGUUGAUACAUUCGAGUAAUUAAACGUUUUACAAUUAAUAAACUAGAUUUAUUGUCAUAACCUACAUUUUCCAACAAAAUAGAUCUAUUUAAACUAUGAUCAUGAGCGAAUGUAUAAAUAUACUCCCGAAAGAUAAAUGGGUAUAGGAAGUCGUUUUUUCGAGAUCUAUCUAAUUCUAAAUAUCUUUCCUCCAUUUUUUUUUGUUUUAUUUUAAAUUCAAUUUGAUUGAAGCAAGGAUAGAGGAUUUUUAUUGGAUUAUUAAAUGAUACAUAGUGCGAUAUAGUAAAAACAAAGUAGUAUAAUAAGAAAAGAAUAGAUACCUCGGAAAUAGGUAAACUCAUCAACGGACUGCCCAUCCCCUCUUUUUUUCCAUCUAAUUGGUUUAUGUGUAUUAUAGGAUAGGAUAAAAAGAUAAUUAGAAAUCCUUUAUUUUUUCAAGCCGAUCGCUCUUUUGAUUUUGGGAAAAAAUCUCGUUAUCAAUAUACUCUUUCUUCUACACAUGCAUCUCCCCCUCAUAGUGGAGAAUAACUAAUAGUUAGGACUUAUUAAAAGAAAAUCGGAAAUCUGCUCAUAGAAAUUCCCGCAUUAGGUACUAAUUUAUUUUUAACGUCUAAUUAGAUCGGAUAAUCAUUCAAAUUAAGAACGUAAGCUCGUUGCUUUUUUGUUUCCCUAUAAUUGGAACCGUAGGAGUCUAUCCAUUUAUUUACUCGACCCAAUUUUGAAUUCAUUUUUUUAUGUUCCGCACCAAGAAUUCAAAUAAAGUUUGGACCGAUCCGGCAAAAAUUAAAUAUUCUCAGAAUUCUCCAUUGAUACGACAUGCUGUUUUUUCCAGUCAUUCCUUUCAGGAUCAGUCGUGGUCUUACAAACUAUACCGAUGGUAUGGACGAAUCCCUUUCUUCAUACAAAUGUGUAAAAGAUAUUAGCCGCACUUAAAAGCCGAGUACUCUACCAUUGAGUUAGCAACCCCCCUCCCCCCCCCCCCUACUAAAAAAAAUUAGAUUAUGUAGAUACAAUCGGAAUCAAAAUAAAAAAUAAAUAAAGAGAUUGAAUCAUACGACACAAUUAAAACAUUAAACUAGCAAAAAAUUAAAAGAAAUGAAAUAUAAAAAUUUCUAAUCAAUUCUGAACAAAAAAAAGAAGAGAUCAAAAAAUAUAGAUAUAGAUAAAAUAAAAUUUUAUAGAUCACCUCUUGUCUUUUACGCUAUCUAUUCUUACUAUUCGCUAUCCAUUCUUAUAUUUUUUAUAUUUAUGUAUUAUACUUAGUAUUCUACUUAGAUUUUUUUAUUAUUUAUUAUACGUAUAUAUAUAUGUUUAUACGUAUAAUACGUAUAUAUGUAUACGUUUUUUAUUUUUUAUUAUUUUUAUAUAAAUUUUAUAUAAAUAUAUAAUCAAAUUUAUAUAAAUAUAUAUAUAAAUAUAUAACUAUAACAUUUUUUUAUACAUUUUUUUCAAUCAAAAAAACUUUUGUAUCACAACAAAUCCAAGAAACCCAUCACCUGAAUGAAGAAAAAACCAAAUCCAUGGAACGGGGAUAAAUAGAUCCACAGGUAAGAUCCAAUUACCUCAGAUCGGAUUAUAUUUAUUUGAUACACUGUUGUCAAUAUGAAUGUGAAUAUAUUGAAAAAAAAAAUACACAAUGAAGAAAAAAAAUAGGUAUAAAAUAGGUAUGAAUAGAGUAUGAAUAGAGUAUGAAUAGAGUAUGAAUAGAGUAUGAAUAGAAUAAGAGAAGGGGGGAUAGUAGAGAAAAGGUUAUAGAAAGCUAUAUAUGUAUACGAAUUACCCACACCCUGCAUUUCAUUAAGUAAAUUGCGUUUGAUUAAGGCGAAGUUCCGUAAAAACCCCCGCCUUCCUUAAAAUAUCACGAACAGUUCCUGUAGGUUGAGCGCCUUUUUCAAGGAAAUAUAGAAUAGCAGGAACGUUUAAAUAGGUUUGAUUUUUUAUCGGAUCAUAAAAACCCACUUUCCGAAGAUCUCUUCCUUCUCUUCGGGAUCGAACAUCAAUUGCAACGAUUCGAUAAACGGUUCAUUGGGAUAGAGGUAGAAAAAAAAAGACCCCCCCCUGUAGAAACGUAUAAGAAGUUUUCUCCUCGUACGGCUCGAGAAAAAUGAUUCGAAGUUCUAUAUAUGUAUAGAAUUAUAGUGUCAAAUAGAUCCAUAAAAUCAUCAAAUCAAUUAAACUAUGAUUUAAGUCCCUUUUCUUCUUAUUUUUGUUUACCAAAAAAUAAAAAAAUCAUCUGUACCCUCCUAACUCAAGUUGGAUAACUUUCAAAUAGCUCAAAGGGAACCCUUUAGGCAUUUCAUUUAUUGAGUGAUCUCUAAUCCCCUUUCUUUUUGUUUCUUUCUUUUAGAAUCUAUUUUGAUUCUUCAUUCUAAUCUAAUUGUUUUGUUGAGACAAUUGAAAACGGUAUUUACUUGUUCCAGGAUCCUUUAUCUUUGCCUUGAAUCGUUGGGUUUAGACAUUACUCCGGUGAUCUUUAAUCGUUUCAAAAUGGCAGCAACAUACCACUUUUUUUGAUUUUUUUCUAUCAAAGAAUCGGACUAGCGGUUGAUUCCUGCGUGAUACACUUUAUUUUUUAAUCAAAAGAAUUUUGGCAAUUCCAACAAACUUUUUCUUGGAUUUUAAACUUGCUCGAAUUUGAUUCUUUAUAUUUCGAUAUCACAAAUAUACUUACGAAGUUGUUCCAACUUAUUGAUUAGUACUAACCCUAGAUUCUUGCCCCUAAGAAAGAAAUCAAUCCUUUCUACUCGAGCUCCACCAUGUACUAUUUACAUUACAACCCAACAAAAAACGAAGGCUCUAGUGUAUAACAGAACAAACGAUGUCGAGCUAAGAGCACCCUCAUUCCUAUAUACUAUUGCUAUAUGCUAUAUAAUAUUAAUAGGAUGGAUGUAAGAAUCCACAGCCGAUCGUGUCCUUCAAGUCGCACGUUGCUUUCUACCACAUCGUUUCAAACGAAGUUUUACCAUAACAUUCCUUGAGUUUUGAACUAGUAUGUAAUUGAUUCAAUUAUGGAGAAUCGUGAAUAGUCAUUGAUUGAACCGGUACAUAGUGAUCUAAAAAUUUAACUUCUAUUGGUUAAUUUAUGAUAUUGGUUAAUUUAUGAAGAAGUGUCAGAAAGAAUUUAAUUUAACUUAACCCCAUAUUUUAUUGUAUGAAUAUUUUUUGAUUUACAAUUCUAAUAUUAGAAAUAAGACAAAGAAAUAAGAUCUUUUUGAAUCUUCAAGUGACUCCAUAGGACAGAUUCGCCUAUCUCACAUUUCUUCGAGUCCCAAGGACUCAUAAAAAAUCCUUAAAAAGAUUUAAUUUUAAGAUUUCCUAUCUCGAUAUCAUUAUUUGAAUAAAAUUUUGUUUUACAGUAAGAAACAUAUUUUCUCAUCAUAAGAGAAAAAGAAUCCCAUAUUCAAAUUCGGAUUAAACCAUCAAUGAUUUAAAACAAAUAAAUAGGUUUAAAAUAUCCAAUUUUUUUUAGUACAGUAGUGGAUAAAAAAGACUGAUGUAAGGAAAAUUUUAAGUUGUUAUUCUUUGAUACUGAGUGAUAAAAUCAGUAUCGAAAUACUAGAGGGUUAUCGGAAUUAAUUAUGGAUAUUCUAAGUAUUAAUUAUGGAUAGUCUAAGUUAAAUAUUGUAAUUACGUAAGGAAUGACAAUUUUUUUUUACAUUCCAAAAAUAGAAACAAAACAAAGGUGUUAAUAAAAAAAACGCUAAGAAUACAUACAUAUAAGCAUUUCUUCAUUUUAUGAGUAGUUUAUUUGACUCGACUUGAGUCUUUUUAAAAUUUUUUUCCUAAAGUAAAGCGAAUAGGAUAUAUGAAUCAACCCCGUCUCGAUUUUUAGAUAGAUUUAGAAUUAUUCAUUAAAGUUAAAGCCAAAGACAAAAUAUCUAAAAAUGAGGUUAACUAAAAGAAAAUACAUAUGUUCCAUAUGUAUUUUCUUUGUUUGUUAAUGAGAUUUUAACAGGCGUAGGCGUUGAAAUUGAUAUCUUCCAUUGCUAAUGAACUCCUAUCUACUUCCCCAAUUAUAUGUUAUAUGAGGUUAUAUGAGGGAUGAUGAAUCAAAUAAGGAAGGAUCCCAUUUUUUUAUAUUUCUAUAUAUUAUAGAAUAGAAUAUUUUUUAUAUUUUUCUAUAUUUUUUUAUAUAGAAUAGCUGGGACGGAAGGAUUCGAACCUCCGAAUAGCGGGACCAAAACCCGUUGCCUUACCGCUUGGCCACGCCCCAUUUAUAUUUUCUAUUCAACACUAAUAAAAACUAAUAUUGGUAUUGGUUCUUCGUCAAUUCCCAUCAAAAUAUUUAGAAAGUAUAUUAUAGCUUGUUGUUCAGAUUUUUGUAUAUGUAGAUAUAGAAUUAAACUGAAUUUAUUGAUCAUAAUAUAUAAUUCAAUUAAGAUAUUGUAUAAAAAAUAUGAUUUCCUCUAUUCUUUUUUGAUUUGAGAAUUGAAGGAUUUUUGAUUGGGUGAGUUUAAUAAAGAAGGGUUUUUGGUCUACCUUGCUUUAUUUUCUACCAAUUUUUAUAUCAAUAAUAUAUUAAUAACUCAAUCAAAAUACAAUUAUCUUCAAAAAAAAAAAUGCUUGUUAUGUUUAAUUUUUUUAGUUUAAUUUGUAUCUGUUUUAAUUCUGCCAUUUAUUCAAGCAAUUUUUUCUUUACAAAAUUGCCCGAAGCCUACGCCUUUUUGAAUCCAAUCGUAGAUGUUAUGCCAGUAAUCCCUGUACUCUUUUUUCUAUUAGCCUUUGUUUGGCAAGCUGCUGUAAGUUUUCGAUGAGAUCUUUAAUAUUGUUCUAGAAUAAUUCAUGAUUUAUUCAAAAAAAAAUUAUAACAAUUGAUAAGAUCAGAUAAGUCUUAUAGUAUAAACUCUUAGUUCAAACAUUGAAGUUAUUGUAUAAACGCGAGAAUUCUGGAUCAUCCCACUUUUUCUCAUUCUGAACUUUUUUUUCCAUUCCAGAUCCUAUUAGAGCUCUAAUUGUAGUUAUGAAAAAAAACAUCUAAAUUUAGGUAUGAAAGAAAUUUUUUGGCAAUGAAAGACCUGACUCUUAUUACAAAUGAAUUUAACAAAAGAAAAAGUCUUUUCUAUUUCUAGAAACCACUCCAUUUCUUGGUGUUAAAAUAGAAUAUGUGGUAUAAAAAUAGAGAAUCUAUUUUUUUUCUAAACCAAAAAAAGAUCUUGGAGAUUUUAUAAUGCUUACUCUCAAACUCUUUGUUUACACAGUAGUGAUAUUCUUUGUUUCUCUCUUCAUCUUUGGAUUUUUAUCUAAUGAUCCAGGACGUAAUCCUGGACGUGAAGAAUAAAAAAAUAAGGGUUUUUCUUGAUUUUUAAAUGUUCUUAGCAUUUUUUUAUCUAUUCUACAUUUUUAAAUAUUAAAGAAAACAAAAAAAGGUUCGCUAAAUUUUAAAGAAAAGAUAAAAAAAAAAUUCCAAAGUCAUCACCGAAACCGGAAAGAGAGGGAUUCGAACCCUCGGUACGAAUAACUCGUACAACGGAUUAGCAAUCCGACGCUUUAGUCCACUCAGCCAUCUCUCCCGAUUGAAAAAGGAUAAUUAAUUACUAUGUUACAUUACACAACAAGUAAGGCUUGAAAAAAGGCUUUUUUCUCUCUUUAUUACUUUCAUACUUUCAUAAUUUUCUAUUUUCCUAUUUUUCUUUUAUUAUUUUAUAUUUAUUAUAUUUAUUAUAUUUAUCUAUUAUUAUAUAUUAUUUCUUUCUAUAUUAUUAUAUUUUUAUUAUUUUAUAUAUUAGUAUAUAAUUAUAUUAGUAUAUAAUUUAGUGUAUAAUACAACUAUAAAAUAAAUAUAAAAUAUAUAAAACUUUCAUCAACAAUUCUUCCAUUUUCAUUUAGAUAUUUAGAUAAAGUAAGGGCUCUAAAAAGACAUCUCCAACUUAAUAUUCCAAUCAAUAUAUUAUAUCAAUCAAUAUUAUAUAUAUUGAUUGAUAUAAUAUAAAAAAUAUCAAAUAAUCUUUUUUUUUUUAUUUUUAAUAUUUGAUUUAUAAAAUAAAAGAUUAAAAAUAAUUUAAAUAAAAGAAUAAUAUAAUAAAAUAUUUUAAUAUAUUAAAAAUGAAAAUAUAUUAAAAAUUGUCUUUCUCGACAAAAGGUUCAUUUAUAUACAAUAAUCGCAUCGUAGCGGGUAUAGUUUAGUGGUAAAAGUGUGAUUCGUUGUAUUAAUUCUAAUAGUUAAGGGAUCCCUCGGCCCAUAUUCCGAUGAAAAACUGUAUUUCUUAAAAAGAUUUAAUCCUUUACCUCUCAAUGAAAAAUUCGAGGAAAAAUAAACAUUCUCGCGAUUUGUAUCCAAAAAUCAAUUAGAAAUUGAAAAAUUGGAUUAUGAAAUUACGAAACAUAAUUUUUGUUAAUUGGAUCAAUACUUUCAAUUUUUUGAGUAUGGGUAAAGGAUCUAUGGAAAAAGACAGAAAAGUUUAUUUCUAAUCGUAACUAAAUCUUCAAUUUGUUCUUUGUUUUGUAUAGUCGAGAUUGAAGCAAAAUAAGCAUUAAAUGAUGACUUUGGUUUACUAUAGACAUCGACAUCUUGUUUUAGCUCGGUGGAAACAAAAUGCUUUUCCUAAGGAUUCUCUCAAAUAGAAAUAGAGAACGAAGUAACUAGAAAAAUUAUUAAAAUCCCACUCGUCUAGAGGGAUCAUCUAGAAAGCGCCUUGUUUUGAAUGCAUUAAGACAGAAAAGCUGACAUAGAUGUUAUGACUCGAAUUUUUUUUCGCUUAAACCUUAUAGCUGGAAAUUUUUCCAUAUUCCAUAAAGGAGCCGAAUGAAAUCAAAGUUUCAUGUUCGGUUUUGAAUUAGAGACGUUAAAGAUGAUGAAUCAACGUCGACUAUAACCCCUAGCCUUCCAAGCUAACGAUGCGGGUUCGAUUCCCGCUACCCGCUAUAUAUUCUUUAAAAUCUAUAUUCUCUAAAAAAUAUAUAAAAUAUUAUAUAUAAUAUUAUUUAUAUAUAUAAUUAGAAUAUAUAAUAUUUAAAUAGGAAUAUGUUUCUAUUUAAAUAGUCUAUUUAAAUUAUUAAAUUAGACUACAUA